AGAGUUUGAUUCUGGCUCAGAUUGAACGCUGGCGGCGUGCUUAACACAUGCAAGUCGAACGUGAAAGUCCUUCGGGACGAGUAAAGUGGCGCACGGGUGAGUAACGCGUGGAUAAUCUACCCUUAAGAUGGGGAUAACGGCUGGAAACGGUCGCUAAUACCGAAUACGCUCCCGAUUUUAUCGUUGGGGGGAAAGAUGGCCUCUGCUUGCAAGCUAUCGCUUAAGGAUGAGUCCGCGUCCCAUUAGCUAGUUGGCGGGGUAACGGCCCACCAAGGCGACGAUGGGUAGCCGGUCUGAGAGGAUGACCGGCCACACUGGAACUGGAACACGGUCCAGACUCCUACGGGAGGCAGCAGUGGGGAAUAUUGCGCAAUGGGCGAAAGCCUGACGCAGCGACGCCGCGUGAGGGAUGAAGGUUCUCGGAUCGUAAACCUCUGUCAGGGGGGAAGAAACCCCCUCGUGUGAAUAAUGCGAGGGCUUGACGGUACCCCCAAAGGAAGCACCGGCUAACUCCGUGCCAGCAGCCGCGGUAAUACGGAGGGUGCAAGCGUUAAUCGGAAUCACUGGGCGUAAAGCGCACGUAGGCGGCUUGGUAAGUCAGGGGUGAAAUCCCACAGCCCAACUGUGGAACUGCCUUUGAUACUGCCAGGCUUGAGUACCGGAGAGGGUGGCGGAAUUCCAGGUGUAGGAGUGAAAUCCGUAGAUAUCUGGAGGAACACCGGUGGCGAAGGCGGCCACCUGGACGGUAACUGACGCUGAGGUGCGAAAGCGUGGGUAGCAAACAGGAUUAGAUACCCUGGUAGUCCACGC
rnacentral:rRNA from 1 species